GCUUACGGCCACACCACCCUGAGCACGCCCGCUCUCGUCUGAUCUCGGAAGCCAAGCAGGGUCGGGCCUGGUUAGUACUUGGAUGGGAGACCACCUGGGAAUACCAGGUGCUGUAAGCAU
rnacentral:rRNA from 1 species